rnacentral:lncRNA from 1 species
ACUCUGCUGACCUUAGACCUGAAACCUACUCCCUGUGUCCUCUGUCAAGUUUGAGUGCAGGCUCUGAAAGCCAAUCCUAUACAAUCUGCUGUAGAAGCAAAUGGACUCUAUGGAGAAAACAUAAGAUGUUGUGAGUUAAUAAGGCCCUCGAGGUGAUUUUCCAGAAGACCAAGUCUCAAGGUGAUAAUGUAGACAAAGAAAGUGAAGGGGAUGGAGCUGAAUGAACUGCCCGGGACAGAUGAUACUUUAUCAAAAGAUAAAUUCCUGAUAUCAGCUGGAUUCCCCAUCAUUUGCCUUCUGAAGGAGGAGCCCCGAAGGAGCUCAGGCUCCCCAAGGCCUGAACCCUAUGCUGUGGUAUUUAAAUAUUUCUGCAGAUUCUUCGAUACUCCUCUCUUCAAAAGGUGAAAGGUGAAUCAGACUUAGUAACUCAAUUCUGCAAAACAAUGUGGUGGAAGCGAUGUUAUGUGAUUCUUGGGGUUGAAUCAGAGCUGUAUCUGCCGGCCUACACCACAGACACAGCCACGCAGGAUCCAAGCCGUGUCUGCAACCUACACCACAGCUCGUGGCAACGCCGGAUUCUUAACCCCCUAAGGGAGGCCAGGGAUCAAACCCACGUCCUCACGGAUACUAGUCGGGUUUGUUAUACCUGAGCCAUGACGGGAACUCCCAUGCUAUGCGAUUCUAAGGCUACGUCAUCACAAGGAUAACUUCUGCUUGGCUUUCUUGCUCCUGGUUCCCUUGCUCUAGUGGAAAGAGGCUGCCAUGUCAUGAGGACACUCAAGCAUCCUCCAAAGAAGUCCACAAGGAGAGGAAUUGAGGCUUCUUGCCAAAGGGCAGAACCACCAACUCAGAUGGAUGAGCUGCCUUGAUACACCCUCACGAGGAUUCUGGACCCAAUUCUGGAGAAACUUACUAGAUUAUCAGUUUACUUUAAAGGAAUAUAAGUCAGGAAGAGUCUGACAGAAGAGAUGCGAACUGAAAGGCAUGGGAGAAAGGAUGUGGGGUUCCAAGGCUCUCUCUUCCCAGAUCUCCACCUGUUCACCAACAUGGAAGCUCUAUGAACGUUGUGUUUUAUGGGGGCUUCACUCUAGAGGCACAACUGAUUAGAUCACUGGCCUUUGGUGAUUGAACUCAGUCUCCAGCCCCUCUGCCCUUCCCUGAGGGCAAGGGUUGGAACUGAAAUUUCCAACCAUCUAAUCACUCUUUGGUUUCCCUGGCAACCAGCCCUCAGCCUGCAUUAUCUAAGGGUGGUCCUCUCUCCCCCACCCCCCCACCUCAUUAACAUAACAAAAGACACUCAGAUCACAGGAAAUUCCAAGGGUUUAGGGCCAAAAACAAGGACCAAAUACAAAUUUUUAAUUAUAAAUCACAGUAUUAUACUCC